UUCAGGCAAACAGUCCACUUACUAGGGCGCCAGUUUAUUACAAAGGAUAUGUUACAGGAUACACAUGAACAGCCAGAUGAAGAGAUAGGUAGGGUGAGGUCUGGAAGGGUCCCGAGCAUGGGAGCUUCUGACCCUGUGGAGUUGGGAGUGAGCCACCCUCCCAGCACAUGGGUGCGUUCUUAAUCACCAAGGGAAGCUCCUCAAACCCUGUAGUUCCAAAUUUUUACGGAGGCUUCAUCACAUAGGCAUGAUGGAUUAUUAACUCAGUCUCUAGCUUCCCUCCCAUACCGGGAGGGUAGGGGGUGGGGCUGAAAGUUCCCAGCUUCUAAUCAUGCCUUGCUCUUUCUGUGAUCAGCCCCCAUCCAGGACCUCAUUGCCUCAUUGGAACCAAAGAUGCCCCUGUCACCCAGGAAAUUCCAAAGGAUUUAGGAGCUCUGCGUCAGGAGCCAGGAUCACAGACCAGAUAAUAGAACAAAAGAUGCUCCUAGCACCCCUGCUGCUUAGGAAAUGACACAGGUUUUAGGAUCUCUGUGUCAGGAACUGGAGGCUGAGACCAACACAUAUGUUAUCAUUUCACAGUGAUAGGUCAAACAGGUCAUGGUAAUGGUGGGAGCUACCUCACUGGGGGCCUAUGGGGGUGAAAGGAGAUCAUGGGUGCCCUCAGCACACCACUUGGGUGAAGGGUUAGUACCAGACCCCACUUCUGGUUUUGUCUGCCAGCCUGGGGCUUUUUUUUUCCCCUUACCUAUUAGAUUAUUUCAUAACUCUUUUCCUACCAGAAAUGCAUCUCCUGCUAGACUGGUCCAGAUCAAAACCCUGCUCUUUCACUGAGGCUCUCCCGGUUGGCAUAUCCUGCAGAAUCCCUCCGUCCAGAGAUCAGUCGGUCCUGUGGUUGUUUCACAGGUGACUCCUCUGUCCAGAGAUCAGUCGGUCCUGUGGUUGUUUCACAGGUGACACCUCCGUCCAGAGAUCAGUUGGCCCUGUGGUUGUUUCACAGGUGACCCCUCCAUCCAGAGAUCAGUUGGUCCUGUGGUUCUUUACCCCUGGUGGUCAUUUCACUCACCCUCAUAUGCAGUCGUUCCUGUGUCCAUCUUCCUUCCUGGAGCCCACAUUCCUCCAGGCCAGGACUGUGGCUUCUCUCUGAAUUGCCCCACAGCUUUUUUCCAAGUGCUCUGCUCACAGUAGACAUCAAAUAGAUGCUUGUUGAGUCAUGGUGCGGGAAUGAGGGAGCCUAGAGAAUAUCUUUCUGGAUCCUCUACUGUUGAUACUAGAAGGAGCCUAAGAAGCCACCCGGCUGAUGGUUUUCUGACCCUGCCUUUAUCAGCAGAGCCUUUUUUCAAAUGAGGUGUUGCACAAAAGCCUGAUGUGUGGCUGUGUAAAACAGAAAUAAACAGUCUUCUAGCCAAAGCCCCAUUCCCACAGUUCAGGGGGCCAUAGGCCCAGGAAUUCCAUAGGAUGUCACUGCCCAACUAGGAAACUGCUCAGUUAGCUGAACCCCUUCUGAGGGCCAGAGGAGGACAGGAUUUGUCCCAAUCCAGACACUCGGCCAGGGAAUAAGGGCUGAAACUCAUCUCUCAACCUAGUCCAGCCCUCCCCCUCUUUGGAUUGUCAUUAUCAAGUUGAUUGAUUGUAUAUUAUCAGGACUCUCUUAACCACAGGUGCCAGAAGCCCAUGCCAGAAGCCCAACCCAAAGUGGCUUAAACCAAAGAGAAAUUUAUAGGCUGGUAUAACUAAAAGAUUCAGAGGUAGCACUGGCUCAUGCAUGAGUGGACCGGGGUGACAAGAUAUCAGAUGGCACCUGACUGUCACCACCACAGGCAGACUGUUCACCAUCUCAGCUCUGUCCCCUUCCUUUGUCACAAUGACGAAGCCACCGCAUCUCCCGGCUAAUGGUGUACCAGCCUGGAAAGACAGCCUCCCUCUCUGAUUGGCUUCAGCACAAGUCACAGGAAUGACUGCCUGGUCUGACCCGUCUCCUGUGUGCUUUCUUUGGGAGUAAAGAGUUAACAGGCCCUUCCCCCUUCCACAGAGAGUGCUUCCCUUAUCCUGCGGAAGCUCUGCCCCUGGAUGAAGGAGGAGAGCGGCUAUGUUAGUGCUGAUGACUGGCACACUGCACUUGCGCUAGGAAGACAGCAUGAACUGCACCCCUCCAGGGAAGCCACGGCCUGGGCUCCCCUGCAUACAGUGGUUCCUUAACUGGGCACGAGUCCCUUGCUGGGACUUAGGAAAACUCUGCCUAAAGUCCAUUGCAAGAAAUACUGAUCCCUGUGGGAUGUAUAUGUGGCUGGUUCCCUUGCUCACUGAGAGACUAGAAAACAGCACCUGGACCCCUGGGCUGGUUCCCUCUGAGGAAAGGAUCUGUGUCAUGAGUGAAGCCCGGGCAGGUGUGGUCUGUUCAACUUUGAUCAUCUGGUUGAGCCUAAGGUGACCAAGAGUGGGCGGUGCACCCCUGAUUCUGUUGCUGUGACUGAGGAAAUGCUAAGCUCUGUUUGGCCAGGCCUGGGCAGCCUGCCUCUGGAGUAGGGGUGGAGAGCCAUCCUGCAACACGAGGUUACCAGGAGAAGGAGUUUUGGUUGGGCACAGACAUCCAGUGUCCACUCCAGGAUGUUUGGGAGACACCUUGAGAACUCUUCCUAAAAGCUGCACUUAACCAAGCUCCUGGUGGUUCUGUGAUCCCUUACAUUUUCUCCAGAGGCAGAGAGUUGGCUGACUGACUUUUGCCCUUGGGCAGAUUGUGAGGCUCUACCCAGCAUGCUGGUAUAUUAUGUUCCCUCAGAUGGGGGUGAGACCCUUGGCCUGGGGGCUGUAAAAUGAUCUGUUUCUGUGAGGAGACUUUCCAUGGUGAGAUUGCUAGUGUCUCAGAGAAUAAAGGACAGAACCAGUCCAAGUCAAAGC
rnacentral:lncRNA from 1 species